rnacentral:rRNA from 1 species
AGAGCGAACGCUGGCGGCAGGCCUAACACAUGCAAGUCGAGCGCCCGUAGCAAUACGGGAGCGGCAGACGGGAUAGUAACACGUGGGAACGCGCCCUUCGGUUCGGAAUAACUCAGGGAAACUUGAGCUAAUACCGGAUACGCCCUUACGGGGAAAGAUUUAUUGCCGAAGGAACGGCCCGCGUCCGAUUAGCUAGUUGGUGAGGUAAUGGCUCACCAAGGCGACGAUCGGUAGCUGGUCUGAGAGGAUGACCAGCAUCACUGGGACUGAGACACGGCCCAGACUCCUACGGGAGGCAGCAGUGGGGAAUAUUGGACAAUGGGCGCAAGCCUGAUCCAGCCAUGCCGCGUGGAUGAUGAAGGCCUUAGGGUUGUAAAGUCCUUUUAACGGGGAAGAUAAUGACGGUACCCGUAGAAUAAGCCCCGGCUAACUUCGUACCAGCAGCCGC